UCAUUUAUUACAAGGCAGAAAAUUCAGGAAACCAAGUUUCAGAAUUGUGCCCAAAGGGUUCCUUUGUCCUUCUAUUUCCAAGAAAAUGCAUUGCUCAAAAUCUGCAACUACUAACCUGCUGUCCCCACCCACAGGCUGCAGGAAGUGCUGUCUGUUAUACGGUUGAUCUGAAGCCCGGGCUGCUCAAGACACCAGAUGGGAGGGAAGGGAGAGCAGGCAGCUGUCUUCAGCUGAUUUUCUGCCAGCAUAUUUGGGCCAUGAUGGGUCUUCUGAUCUUGGGACAGAAAUGAAGUCGUCUUGUGGAUUACAUCUAGAUGUCUUCCCAAAGCUUCAGUCCCUCCUCCAGUUCCAACCAUCUCUUGCUGCCCAGGAGCAGAGGUCUCCCUCAGAUCAUCUGCAGAGAGAGGUGGGCCUGGAAGCCAGGGCAUCACAUCACCAGCCCACCACAGUGCAACACAGCUUCUGCACCACUGACUCAAGUCCACGAUCACCGGCUGACCCAGCAUCUGUCAGGAGCCAGGGCCCUGCUACAAGCUGCCCAUGGACCUGCCCAGGACCCCACAGCCACCCUGUCACCCAAGUUUCAUCAGCUCUGCCUUCCAGCAGGGGAAUUGAGGAGCUAAGAGGCCAAGUCACCUCCAUGACCCUAAGGAACCCUGUGGGAGGAGCAAAGGACACACACAUCCCCUCCCUCCACUGCCCCUGUCUGCAGAGAUGUGAUUUUCUGUGACCACCAAAUAUACCCCCAGCUCAUUGGGGAUAUGUAGCCCCUCAUAAAAUCCUCCUGGUGAUGUUUACCAGGAGUCACCCCAUUGAUGCUGCUGAGUGAAUGCCAGAGACUGUCUCCUGAAGCCGGAGGCCAUGAGUACCUGGCCAGCAGUCACUUUGUGGAACCACAGUCCUGCUCCCCAGGGGGCUUGUGUGGUGACAGUCACAGUGCACUGUGUCUGCAGAGAGGCCUGCUCCACUCCAGUUCUGCAGCAAUUACAAGAUGGCUUAUUAUGGAAAAUGAUUUAUGGAGGUGGAAAGGCUCAGAUGAAGACUUAAGUGAUCAGACGGCUGGACUCAGACAGGAAUGUUCACUGUCAGAUCGAUGUUUGGAUAAUAGGAAACAAUGAUCGUG
rnacentral:lncRNA from 1 species